rnacentral:lncRNA from 1 species
AAAGUUAUACUAGGAAGCCUAUUAAUAGUGAAUCAAUAUACAAGGAAUAGCAGCAAAUUUACAGCAAACGUGUCCAUGAUUUGUGGCUGUAGAUUGGUUGAUUAUCCAUGAUUUUAGAGCUGAGAUUAACGUGUCCAUGAUUUGCUCUUAUAGACUGGUAGUGUGACCAAAAUUAUAGGGCUAAGAUCAAGGAUCCUUUUCAAACGGACUCUUUGAGUCACAAACUGACCUUUCAACUUUCAAGAAUCUGUUACAAAACGUGUUUAGGACUGCUGAUGUGGUGGUGUUUAGUUGACUAUUUCAAAGUUGUUCCUUUUUUUCUGGUGUUGGUUAUUUUUUUUUUUUUUUGUUAUUCAUGUUUGUCAUCGUGGGGUAGUCUUAGGUCCAUGAUUUUAGUGGGUUGUUAUUAAUCAAGCUUUAAAUUGUAACGUUUCUGAUGUGAAAAAAUUAAUUCAGUGUCUUUUGCUUCAAAAUACAUUGGUCUCAAUUUCAUUUGCUGCAGCAAUACUUUUAAACUUCAACAAAGCUUUGUUUUUCUUUUCUCAUUCUAAAUAUAACUACAAUUGGUAUUAGAGCCCUCUUCUUAAGGGAUCUGGGUGUAAGUUUGACGCGUCAUGGAAGCUGAAGCCAGUUUCUCCUCAAUUGCUUCGCCGGUGUUUAAUGGAGACAACUACCAGAUUUGGGCAGUACGCAUGGAGACAUACUUGGAUGCUUUGGCUCUUUGGGAAGCUGUGGAAGAAGACUAUGAAAUCCCUGCACUUCCGAACAAACCCACCAUGGCACAGAUCAAAGCGCAGAAGGAAAAGAAGAUAAAGAAAUCAAAGGCAAAGGCCUGCUAGUUUACUGCAGUCUCUUCCACCGUCUUCACUCGUAUUAUGUCUCUGAAUACAGCAAAGGAGAUAUGGGAUUAUCUCAAGACCAAAUACGACGGAGAUGAAAGGAUCCGAGGGAUGCAAGUGCUGAACCUAGUACGUGACUUUGAGUUGCAGAAGAUGAAGAAGAUUGAAUCCAUCAAAGAGUAUUCUGACAGGUUGCUCAACAUUGCAAGUCGAGUCAGACUACUUGGUUCAUCUCUGCCAGAAUCAAGGAUUGUUGAAAAAAUCCUUGUAACAAUACCUGAAAAAUUUGAGGCCACAAUUACAUCCUUAGAAAACACUAAGGAAAUGUCAAAAAUCACUCUGGCAGAGUUGUUGAAUGCAUUGCUAGCACAGGAGCAAAGAAAAGCUAUGAGACAGGAAGAUGAUGUUGAGGGAGCCUUAUCUGUCAAGCAUCAGGAGAAUGCAAGAAACAACAACAAAAAUAAGGGCAAAAGGUAUCAAGGCUCAAAUGGAGAAUUCACGGCAAACAACAAUAGGAGCAAAGCUGGAAACAAAAAAGGGUUCUCAUCCUCCAUGCCAACAUUGUGGUGGAAAAUCUCAUCCACAUUUUAAAUGCUGGAGAAGACCAGACGCCAAAUGCACUAAAUGUAAACAGAUGGGGCAUGAAGCUGUGAUCUGCAAAAACAAAAAUCAACAACACAGUGAAGAGGCACAGCUUGCUGAUCAAGAGGGGGAUGAUCAACUGUUCGUGGCUACAUGUUUCUCUAGCAUUGAAUCAAGUGAGAGUUGGCUUAUUGAUAGUGGUUGUACUAACCACAUGACACAUGAAAAGGAUCUAUUUAGGGAACUAAGGAGCACAAACAUGUCAAAAGUUCGAAUUGGAAAUUGUCAGUACAUAACUGUGGAAGGAAGAGGAACAGUUGCAAUUUCGAGCUGUUCAGGUUGAAAGUUCAUUUCUGAUGUAUUAUAUGUCCCUGAAAUUGAUCAAAACUUGUUAAGUGUUGGACAACUAAUCGAAAAAGGUUAUAAAGUGGUGUUCGAAGACAAAUGUUGCUUGAUUAAAGAUGCAGUUGGCCAAGCUAUUUUCAAAGUAAAAAUGAAAGGAAAAAGCUUUGCUCUAAAUCCAUUGGAGAAGGAGCAAAUUGCUUUCCCAAUCAAAGAAAAUAUCGCAGAAGUAUGGCAUAAGAGGCUCGGGCACUAUCAUCAUCAGGGGUUGCUGCAGAUGAAAUCCAAGAUGAUGGCAAAUGACCUUCCAGAACUUGAUCAUCAAAUUCCAAACUGUAAAGCAUGUCAAUUUGGAAAACAAAGCAAAAAAUCAUUCCCCAAGGCAACAUGGAGAGCAUCAAGGAAGCUGCAAUUAAUUCAUACGGACAUUGCAGGCCCACAAAGAACGCCUUCUCUGAAAGAUAGUCUCUAGUAUGCUGCAUUCAUUGAUGAUUUCACCCGUAUGUGCUGGAUUUUCUUUUUGAAGCACAAGUGAGAGGUGGCUCAAGUCUUCCGGAACUUUAAACAAACUCUUAAAUCAGACAUUGGUAAGGAGUACACCUAUGAAUCAUUCAACCGAUUUUGUGAGGAGGAAGGCAUCCAACAUCAAUUAACUGCUCCAUACACUCCGCAACAAAAUGAAGUAAGUGAGAGACGGAACAGAUUCAUAUUGGAGAUGGCACAAUGUAUGCUAUAUGAGAAGAACCUACCGAAGCAGUUUUGUGGCGAAGCAGCAAACACUGUUUUUUUUUUUUUUUUUUUUUUGCAAAACAGGCUUCUCACGAGAGCAGUGAAGCAUCAAACACCCUUUGUGGUGCGGAAGAGUGUUUGAAUUCUUGUAAUAAGAAUUAUAACGAAAGAAAUAUGAAACGAUAUAGGAAUAAUCUGCUUCUAUUGAUUUAAUAAUGAAUAAUUGUCUGAAAAUUAUACAGUAGUUUCUAUAUUUAUAGGCAAAUCAUUCCUAUUUCUAAUAGUACUAGAACACUAAUAUUAGGAAACUAAUAAACUCUAAUCUAAUUAAACUAUGAAAUUAAUAAAACUCUAAUCUAAUUAAAUCUCUCAAUAAAAUAAAAGUCCUAACACAAUAAUACUAAAAAGAAAAUAAACUCCUAGAAAAUAUAAAAUACAAUUGUAGUAGGAAUCCCAUUGUAGUUUUACUACAUCAAUCAUCCUGGCUCUAAUACCAAUUUUGGUACGGAAGUGUGUUUGAAUUCUUGUAAUAAGAAUUAUAACGAAAGAAAUAUGAAACAAUAUGGGAAU